GCAUCGAUAGCUCAGUGGCAGAGCGGUGGGGCGUUUACCCAUGCGGACCGGGUUCGAUUCCCGGUCGAUGUA